rnacentral:rRNA from 1 species
CCUACGGGAGGCAGCAGUGGGGAAUAUUGCGCAAUGGGCGAAAGCCUGACGCAGCGACGCCGCGUGAGGGAUGAAGGUCUUCGGAUUGUAAACCUCUGUCAGCAGGGAAGAACGGUCACUGUGCUAAUCAGCAGUGAAUUGACGGUACCUGCAAAGGAAGCACCGGCUAACUCCGUGCCAGCAGCCGCGGUAAUACGGAGGGUGCGAGCGUUAAUCGGAAUUACUGGGCGUAAAGCGCUCGUAGGCGGUCUGUCAAGUCAAGUGUGAAAUCCCCGGGCUCAACGUGGGAACUGCCUUGGAAACUGGCAGAGUGGAGUGUGUGAGAGGAGAGUGGAAAUCCAGGUGUAGGGGUGAAAUGCGUAGAGAUCUGGAGGAACACCAGUGGCGAAGGCGACUAUCUGGCACAUAACUGACGCUGAGGAGCGAAAGCGUGGGUAGCAAACAGGAUUAGAUACCCCUGUAGUC